GCUGGGCAUGGUGGCUCAUGCCUGUAAUCCCAGCACUUUGGGAGGCCGAGGUGGGUGGAUCACCUGAGGUUAGGAGUUCAAGACCAGCCUGACCAACAUGGAGAAACCCCAUCUCUA
ensembl:misc_RNA Metazoa_SRP Metazoan signal recognition particle RNA